CAAGUCGAACGAACUCUGGUAUUGAUUGGUGCUUGCAUCAUGAUUUACAUUUGAGUGAGUGGCGAACUGGUGAGUAACACGUGGGAAACCUGCCCAGAAGCGGGGGAUAACACCUGGAAACAGAUGCUAAUACCGCAUAACAACUUGGACCGCAUGGUCCGAGUUUGAAAGAUGGCUUCGGCUAUCACUUUUGGAUGGUCCCGCGGCGUAUUAGCUAGAUGGUGGGGUAACGGCUCACCAUGGCAAUGAUACGUAGCCGACCUGAGAGGGUAAUCGGCCACAUUGGGACUGAGACACGGCCCAAACUCCUACGGGAGGCAGCAGUAGGGAAUCUUCCACAAUGGACGAAAGUCUGAUGGAGCAACGCCGCGUGAGUGAAGAAGGGUUUCGGCUCGUAAAACUCUGUUGUUAAAGAAGAACAUAUCUGAGAGUAACUGUUCAGGUAUUGACGGUAUUUAACCAGAAAGCCACGGCUAACUACGUGCCAGCAGCCGCGGUAAUACGUAGGUGGCAAGCGUUGUCCGGAUUUAUUGGGCGUAAAGCGAGCGCAGGCGGUUUUUUAAGUCUGAUGUGAAAGCCUUCGGCUCAACCGAAGAAGUGCAUCGGAAACUGGGAAACUUGAGUGCAGAAGAGGACAGUGGAACUCCAUGUGUAGCGGUGAAAUGCGUAGAUAUAUGGAAGAACACCAGUGGCGAAGGCGGCUGUCUGGUCUGUAACUGACGCUGAGGCUCGAAAGUAUGGGUAGCAAACAGGAUUAGAUACCCUGGUAGUCCAUACCGUAAACGAUGAAUGCUAAGUGUUGGAGGGUUUCCGCCCUUCAGUGCUGCAGCUAACGCAUUAAGCAUUCCGCCUGGGGAGUACGGCCGCAAGGCUGAAACUCAAAGGAAUUGACGGGGGCCCGCACAAGCGGUGGAGCAUGUGGUUUAAUUCGAAGCUACGCGAAGAACCUUACCAGGUCUUGACAUACUAUGCAAAUCUAAGAGAUUAGACGUUCCCUUCGGGGACAUGGAUACAGGUGGUGCAUGGUUGUCGUCAGCUCGUGUCGUGAGAUGUUGGGUUAAGUCCCGCAACGAGCGCAACCCUUAUUAUCAGUUGCCAGCAUUAAGUUGGGCACUCUGGUGAGACUGCCGGUGACAAACCGGAGGAAGGUGGGGAUGACGUCAAAUCAUCAUGCCCCUUAUGACCUGGGCUACACACGUGCUACAAUGGAUGGUACAACGAGUUGCGAACUCGCGAGAGUAAGCUAAUCUCUUAAAGCCAUUCUCAGUUCGGAUUGUAGGCUGCAACUCGCCUACAUGAAGUCGGAAUCGCUAGUAAUCGCGGAUCAGCAUGCCGCGGUGAAUACGUUCCCGGGCCUUGUACACACCGCCCGUCACACCAUGAGAGUUUGUAACACCCAAAGUCGGUGGGGUAACCUUUUAGGA
rnacentral:rRNA from 1 species